UGGGGAAUAUUGGACAAUGGGGGGAACCCUGAUCCAGCCAUGCCGCGUGUGUGAAGAAGGCCUUAUGGUUGUAAAGCACUUUAAGCGAGGAGGAGGGUACUGGUAUUAAUACUACCAGCUACUGGACGUUACUCGCAGAAUAAGCACCGGCUAACUCUGUGCCAGCAGCCGCGGUAAUACAGAGGGUGCGAGCGUUAAUCGGAUUUAGUGGGCGUAAAGCGUGCGUAGGCGGCUAAUUGAGUCGGAUGUGAAAGCCCCGGGCUCAACCUGGGAACUGCAUCCCAAACAGGCGAGCUAGAGUAGGGCAGAGGGUGGUGGAAUUUCCUGUGUAGCGGUGAAAUGCGUAGAUAUAGGAAGGAACACCAGUGGCGAAGGCGACCUCCUGGGCUCAUACUGACACUGAGGUGCGAAAGCGUGGGGAGCAAACAGG
rnacentral:rRNA from 1 species